rnacentral:misc_RNA from 1 species
UACGUAGGUGGCAAGCGUUGUCCGGAAUCAUUGGGCGUAAAGCGUACGCAGGCGGUCUGGAAAGUCUGACGUGAAAUCCCGGGGCUCAACCUCGGAAUUGCGUUGGAAACUAUCGGACUUGAGUAUGGGAGAGGUUCGUGGAAUUCCAGGUGUAGGGGUGAAAUCCGUAGAGAUCUGGAGGAACACCAGUGGCGAAAGCGACGAACUGGACCAAGACUGACGCUGAGGUACGAAAGCGUGGGGAGCAAACAGG